CAGUAGCCACGGUAAUACGUAGGUGGCAAGCGUUGUCCGGAAUUAUUGGGCGUAAAGGGCUCGCAGGCGGUUUCUUAAGUCUGACGUGAAAGCCCCCGGCUCAGCCGGGGAGGGUCAUUGGAAACUGGGAAACUUGAGUGCAGAAGAGGAGAGUGGAAUUCCACGUGUAGCGGUGAAAUGCGUAGAGAUGUGGAGGAACACCAGUGGCGAAGGCGACUCUCUGGUCUGUAACUGACGCUGAGGAGCGAAAGCGUGGGGAGCGAACAGGAUUAGAUACCCCAGUAGUCCCUGUCUCUUAUAC
rnacentral:rRNA from 1 species